GACGAACGCUGGCGGCGUGCCUAAUACAUGCAAGUUGAGCGCUGAAGGUUGGUCCUUGUACCAACUGGAUGAGCAGCGAACGGGUGAGUAACGCGUGGGGAAUCUGCCUUUGAGCGGGGGACAACAUUUGGAAACGAAUGCUAAUACCGCAUAAAAACUUUAAACACAAGUUUUAAGUUUGAAAGAUGCAAUUGCAUCACUCAAAGAUGAUCCCGCGUUGUAUUAGCUAGUUGGUGAGGUAAAGGCUCACCAAGGCGAUGAUACAUAGCCGACCUGAGAGGGUGAUCGGCCCCAUUGGGACUGGGACACGGCCCAAACUCCUACGGGAGGCAGCAGUAGGGAAUCUUCGGCAAUGGACGAAAGUCUGACCGAGCAACGCCGCGUGAGUGAAGAAGGUUUUCGGAUCGUAAAACUCUGUUGGUAGAGAAGAACGUUGGUGAGAGUGGAAAGCUCAUCAAGUGACGGUAACUACCCAGAAAGGGACGGCUAACUACGUG
rnacentral:rRNA from 1 species